rnacentral:rRNA from 1 species
AGCUCCAUUAGCGUAUAUUAAAGUUGUUGCAGUUAAAAAGCUCGUAGUUGGAUUUCGGGGCGGGCCGACCGGUCUGCCGAUGGGUAUGCACUGGCCGGCGCGUCCUUCCACCCGGAGACCGCGCCUACUCUUAACUGAGCGGGCGCGGGAGACGGGUCUUUUACUUUGAAAAAAUCAGAGUGUUUCAAGCAGGCAGUCGCUCUUGCAUGGAUUAGCAUGGGAUAAUGAAAUAGGACUCUGGUGCUAUUUUGUUGGUUUCGAACACCGGAGUAAUGAUUAACAGGGACAGUCAGGGGCACUCGUAUUCCGCCGAGAGAGGUGAAAUUCUCAGACCAGCGGAAGACGAACCACUGCGAAAGCAUUUGCCAGGGAUGUUUUCACUGAUCAAGAACGAAAGUAG